rnacentral:rRNA from 1 species
UCGAGAAUUUUUCUCAAUGGGGGAAACCCUGAAGGAGCGACGCCGCGUGGAGGAUGAAGGUCUUCGGAUUGUAAACUCCUGUCAUUUGGGAACAAUUGUCAUGCGUUAACUGCGUGUGGCUUGAUAGUACCAGAAGAGGAAGAGACGGCUAACUCUGUGCCAGCAGCCGCGGUAAUACAGAGGUCUCAAGCGUUGUUCGGAUUCAUUGGGCGUAAAGGGAGCGUAGGUGGCGUCGUAAGUCAGGUGUGAAAUCUCGGGGCUCAACCCCGAAACUGCACCCGAUACUGCGAUGCUAGAGUACUGGAGAGGAGAUUGGAAUUUACGGUGUAGCAGUGAAAUGCGUAGAUAUCGUAAGGAAGACCAGUGGCGAAGGCGAAUCUCUGGACAGUUACUGACACUGAGGCUCGAAGGCCAGGGGAGCAAACGG